rnacentral:rRNA from 1 species
UACGUAGGGACCGAGCGUUAUCCGGAUUCAUUGGGCGUAAAGAGCUCGUAGGCGGCUAUUCAAGUCGAACGUGAAAUCUCGGAGCUCAACUCCGAGCCUGCGUUCGAUACUGGGUAGCUAGAGUCUGGUAGGGGGAUCUGGAAUUCCUGGUGUAGCGGUGGAAUGCGCAGAUAUCAGGAGGAACACCGGUGGCGAAGGCGGGAUCCUGGGCCAGUACUGACGCUGAGGAGCGAAAGCAUGGGGAGCGAACAGG